GAUGAACGCUGGCGGCGUGCCUAAUACAUGCAAGUCGAGCGAACAGACGAGGAGCUUGCUCCUCUGACGUUAGCGGCGGACGGGUGAGUAACACGUGGAUAACCUACCUAUAAGACUGGGAUAACUUCGGGAAACCGGAGCUAAUACCGGAUAAUAUAUUGAACCGCAUGGUUCAAUAGUGAAAGACGGUUUUGCUGUCACUUAUAGAUGGAUCCGCGCCGCAUUAGCUAGUUGGUAAGGUAACGGCUUACCAAGGCAACGAUUCGUAGCCGACCUGAGAGGGUGAUCGGCAACACUGGAACUGAGACACGGUCCAGACUCCUACGGGAGGCAGCAGUAGGGAAUCUUCCGCAAUGGGCGAAAGCCUGACGGAGCAACGCCGCGUGAGUGAUGAAGGUCUUCGGAUCGUAAAACUCUGUUAUUAGGGAAGAACAAAUGUGUAAGUAACUAUGCACGUCUUGACGGUACCUAAUCAGAAAGCCACGGCUAACUACGUG
rnacentral:rRNA from 1 species